rnacentral:rRNA from 1 species
GACGUAGGGCGCGAGCGUUGUCCGGAUUUAUUGGGCGUAAAGAGCUCGUAGGCGGCUUGUCGCGUCGUUCGUGAAAACCCGAGGCUCAACCUCGGGCCUGCAGUGGGUACGGGCAGACUAGAGUGCGGUAGGGGAGAUUGGAAUUCCUGGUGUAGCGGUGGAAUGCGCAGAUAUCAGGAGGAACACCGAUGGCGAAGGCAGAUCUCUGGGCCGUAACUGACGCUGAGGAGCGAAAAGCGUGGGGAGCGAACAGG